UUGUGCAACAUGUCAGUCUGUCAGUCGGUCCUCUCGCUCCCCGCCGAGUCCUGUCCCUCCGCCACACAACCGCUCUGCCUUUUACGGGUGACCUUCCAUCCCGAGGGCGCUUUUCAAUCCGUUCCUGCCACCCACCAUCUUACAUGGAGCUUACACCCUUAAUCAGGAGCCCCUCGGUGAAAGGCCUCCGUGUCAGCGCAUUCGAGCUGUGCGCCCGCAGUGUGGAUGUUCAGUAGGCCUACAUGUGCAGAAGCAAGGAAUGCACGCGCACGCCGAGAUGACGCCUUCGCCUCCCGAUGAACGUUCACCUGGCUGACAUUUUCCGACGAUGCUGAUUUUAACGGUUGGAGCCCGGCGCCACGCUGGCUUCUGCUUUCGUUGCAGAGCCCCACGCAGCGCUAGGCUGACUUUUAAACAGGGUUAGCGGGAAGAAUCAGACCCCUGGGAUUUGUCUCCAUCUCUUCUUCUUUGUGUUGUGUGGAGACCGGGUUUAAUAUUUGCUUCUUUUCUUUUCCUACAGUGGUUGUGAAGGCAGACGGACCUUUAUUAGUGUAGGAUUUAUUGUAUGUCAUUUAAGCUCUCUUUUUGUCUUUAAAUCUGCAGUGUCACCAUUAUCUUGAGUUUUAUAUUAUUAUUGUUUUUUCGACAGGCAUUUGUUUUCUAAUUCCCAAGACACAAAGAAAAGAACCACAUAUGCCAGUAGCAAACAACUGCCAAUGCUUCAAAAAUACAAUAAGCAUUAUAAUGAGCCUAUAUCUCUAUAGACAUAAUGUAUUCAGGCUCUUGUGCUUUCAGCUGUGUUUUCUGCUCAGAUCUCCCCACUGAAGGGAACCGGACAGAAUGAGCGAUGCGCGAACACAUCUGAAGACAAUGAAGCUCCAUUUGUUUAAGAGCUCAUUUUAAUUACCUCUAAAGUGCUACAGGGCGGUACUGCGUAAUAUUCUAAUUCUGUAUGUGCUUGACUACUGGCACACAGAGCAGAACAACACACCAAGGACCACAAUAUACAGAGUGCAGCAUUUCUGCGAGGAUUUACAGCGUCCUCGUCCACCACAGCUUCCUUUGCUCUGUUGUUUAUUUCAAGACACCAAAGCAAAGCCAGAGGUCACUUCUGAGUGGGCCUUUUUGUCGAGACACCCACCGGCCCACUCAGCACUCCCACCCCCCCCUUUUAACAUCUUCUUGUUUGACCUGGCUUAUCUGCACCCUGUUAAUGGGACCUGGGCUGGGCGGCUCUCUGGCAUUACGAGGCCAGAGGAGUAGACGGCGGGGCCACUGAGGGUGGAAGGGGAUCUCAGGGUCGAGGCGAGGCCAAGUCCGGGUCUUUCUUAUGGAAAUGCAUGCGUGUAGAAUCCUCACAGGCACUACUGGGUGGGCGGGUUCUUACUUUAGCGAGACGGGACCUCCAGGGACUAGAACAAGAUCUUCCUAUAGAGCCACGGGACCCUUGGUCCAACUUGUAAAAGCUGAGGGCAUUGGAUACGCCCCGGCUGACCACCCAGGGGUGCAGGCUUUCAACAUUUCCAUCAGGCAGCGUGUGUAGCCACGCCAGAGGGUCCCAAUGUGCCAACGGGUAACAGUAGUUCUCCCACGGUCUACAGGUGGAGGUGGGACGCAUCAGGAGGCCUGUGGCACCGUCUGGACACCAAGUGUCCGUUCCCUGCUUUCUUCCCGAAAGCCAGAAUCAUCUGCUGGACCUCACAAUGGUUGAGGCACUGGUCUGUGGAGGAGUAGCAUACGGUACAUUCCCGAAAGGAAGACCCCCCGCGCACUACGCUGGCAGAACAAGCAGGAAGGUCGUGAACCGCUUCAGGUGCAUGCUGGGUAUGUGUUCACAUGUUUGAGGGAUAUUCUGACAGCUUCUCCAAGUUUAAAGGAAAAGGAAAGGAAACAGCAAUCGUGGCUUUGUUCACAAGCAGGUUUCACACGAGCCGGUUUAGUUGGACGGAGCCAUGCCGGCUGUUUCCCUGUAGCUUCAUCUUAUUGACAUUUUCAUCUAACUUUACGUGCCGUUUACUAAAAGGGUGAGCCGGAAUCAUGUCCAUAGAGAAUGUAGGUAAAUUAUUUGGAUUUCGUUGGAAAUGUGUUCACUUUUUGUGCUUUGCAUUCUUUGCUUUAAUCUCAAUUUAAUCCGAACAAAACCACUACUGGAUUACAUUAAAGAUUGUUGUUGAAGGAUUAGUGCCAAUGUUCCCGGUCAAACGCAUUUAAAUUCACUCUAUUAAACUACUAAAUACAGAAGAGA